rnacentral:rRNA from 1 species
UACGGGGGGGGCAAGCGUUGUUCGGAAUUACUGGGCGUAAAGGGCUCGUAGGCGGCCAACUAAGUCGGACGUGAAAUCCCUCGGCUUAACCGGGGAACUGCGUCCGAUACUGGAUGGCUUGAGGUUGGGAGAGGGAUGCGGAAUUCCAGGUGUAGCGGUGAAAUGCGUAGAUAUCUGGAGGAACACCGGUGGCGAAGGCGGCAUCCUGGACCAAUUCUGACGCUGAGUGAGCGAAAGCCAGGGGAGCAAACGGG